rnacentral:rRNA from 1 species
UAAGGAAUAUUGCGCAAUGGAGGCAACUCUGACGCAGCCAUGCCGCGUGCAGGAAGAAGGCCUUAUGGGUCGUAAACUGCUUUUAUUUAGGAAUAAACUCUCGUUCGUGAACGAGACUGAAGGUACUAAACGAAUAAGCACCGGCUAACUCCGUGCCAGCAGCCGCGGUAAUACGGAGGGUGCAAGCGUUAUUCGGAAUCACUGGGCGUAAAGGACGCGUAGGCGGGAAGCCAAGUCUGAUGUGAAAUCCUAUGGCUUAACCAUAGAACUGCAUUGGAAACUGGUUACCUAGAGUAUGGGAGGGGGAGAUGGAAUUAGUGGUGUAGGGGUAAAAUCCGUAGAUAUCACUAGGAAUACCGAAAGCGAAGGCGAUCUCCUGGAACAAUACUGACGCUAAGGCGUGAAAGCGUGGGGAGCAAACG